CACUGAGGACAGAAAACUGAAGCCUAUAAUAGUGCCGUAAAGAUGUUAAUUUCAAAAUUCCCAGAUUAACAACAUAAUAGAUGUAGACAAUUUGGUGGAAAUCAACUGGGUGCUGUUUGAACAGAGUUUGGGUGUUGGUAGUAACACAGUAUUUGGCCCUGUUCCUUUAGGAUCUCUUCUUAGUUACCAGAGAUCAGUUGUUGGAUUUCGUAGAAGAAGAAUGUAUCCUGAUAUAACACUUGUAGCACCAGAGGCCGAAAAAAGAAAAAGGUAGUGAACAUGAAGACAACACAAAUAUAGGUAACAAAGAAAAUAAUGAUAAAGGAAAAUCAACAGAGAAAGUGGAGACAGAAUGAUGAUGGUGUAGAAAAUAGAAAUAUCACUCAAUUAAGACCAGUAAUUCGGCAUCUGUUAGGCAGUUGCUGAGGCUCACCUUGGAGGAAUGAGUCCUGAACUUACAAGAUAUGUUAGAGAAAAGCAGAAUUCUGGAGCUGCAGAAGAUGUACCCAUUAUUCAUAAAAUCAGAAUUUGUGAUCUACUCAACUCCCACAGAAAUGAACUUCAAUAGAAGAGCUGUAUGUAAGGUAGAGGAACAGGCAGAUUGAACAUUAGACUUUGUCAGUGCAAAGGGGGCAGUGAAGUUCAGUCGUUCUCCGCUAAAAACAGAUGAUUGACGACACUGGGCGGACUGAGCACAGGAGCAUAAAGGCCUAGCAGACAGGACAUUCUGGAAACAGAAAUUGUUGCAAGACCUUAUCCAUGACAACAAUAAACAAGGCUGUGAGAUCAUACAAGUCAUUCACAGAUGCUAUGCCUGAGGAAAAUAUAUUGUAGAACCAGAAAUUUUUGCUAUCUUCCCAGUAUGUGUCACAGAAAUAAACAUGUUGUGACAGGACUUUAGUGGUUCAAUAUUGAAGUGAAAAUGACAAGAGAAUGUUUAAAAAAUGGAGGAAAUCUUUUUAUGCUACUACAUGCAGAGAAUGGAAAAUUAAACGAAAAGGCUAACUUUUUAGCUCACCAGUGUCACAUAGUGCCCGUAAUCCAUCCAUCCAUCCAUUCAGCUCUGUUCAGUUUUAUUUCAGAAAGUAUACUUAGAGCUCUGUUCAGUUUUAUUUCCAACAUAUAGCUCUGUUCAAUUUUAUUUUUGAGAGUAUACAUAUAGCUCUGUUCAGUUUUAUUUUUGAGAGUAUACAUAUAGCUCUGUUCAAUUUUAUUUUUGAGAGUAUACAUAUAGCUCUGUUCAGUUUUAUUUCCGAGAGUAUACAUAUAGCUCUAUUCAGUUUUAUUUUUGAGUGUGUGAAUAUAGCUCUGUUCAAUUUUAUUUCCGAGAGUGUAAAUAUAGCUCUGUUCAGUUUUAUUUCUGAGAGUGUAAAUAUAUCUCUGUUCAUAGUUUUAUUUCUGAGAGUGUAUACAGUUUUAUGAUGUGUGUGUGUGUUCAGUUGCAAGAAAGAAAAUGUUCAGCAUUUACUAUAGUUCAUGUGUGGCCGAGUUGUAAUGGUCCAUGACAUUGGAACACUCGAGUACCCUUUCCUUCAGAUGGAUGCAGAAUUCUUUCAUGUGAGGAAGACAAAAGUUUGAUGGUUGUACCCAGGUCUUCUUUAUGCACCCAUGUAAAUUUGAAAUGCCACUACUUUGUUGUUUUGCAGGUUGAAACUUUUAACAUGUCAAAUCGGAUGUACUUCAUACUUGUUAUAUAUACUUUUUGCCGUUGUGAUGAAAAUAUUGCAUUGUUUUUGUGUGUUUUGUCUAUUAUGAUUGCAGUAAGUAAACUUUAAACAUUA